AGCGUAGGCGGAAAUGUAAGUUAGAGGUGUAAUCUUCAGGCUCAACCUGAAGUUUGCCUUUAAAACUGCGUUUCUUGAGUAUUGGAGAGGGAGACGGAAUUCCAGGUGUAGCGGUGGAAUGCGUAGAUAUCUGGAAGAACACCAGUUGCGAAGGCGGUCUCCUGGCCAAAUACUGACGCUGAGGCUCGAAAGCUAAGGGAGCGAACA
rnacentral:rRNA from 1 species